GAUAGAAAGCAUCACCCUGAACGCGGCCGAUCUCGUCUGAUCUUGGAAGCUAAGCAGGGUCAGGCCUGGUUAGUACUUGGACGGGAGAAAGCAUCACAUUCAUCA
rnacentral:rRNA from 1 species